UGCAGUCGAGGGGCAUCAGGUAUCAGCUUGCUGAUACGCUGGCGACCGGCGCACGGGUGAGUAACGCGUAUGCAAUCUGCCUGUAACAGGGGGAUAACCCGGAGAAAUCCGGCCUAAUACCCCAUAAGGAUGUCUGUCCGCAUGGGCGGUCAUCUAAAGGUUUUCCGGUUACAGAUGGGCAUGCGUUCCAUUAGCUGGUUGGCGGGGUAACGGCCCACCAAGGCGACGAUGGAUAGGGGUUCUGAGAGGAAGGUCCCCCACACUGGUACUGAGACACGGACCAGACUCCUACGGGAGGCAGCAGUGAGGAAUAUUGGUCAAUGGGCGUAAGCCUGAACCAGCCAAGUCGCGUGAAGGAAGACAGCCCUACGGGUCGUAAACUUCUUUUGUAUGGGAGUAAAAGAGUCCACGCGUGGGCUAUUGCAAGUACCAUACGAAUAAGCAUCGGCUAACUCCGUGCCAGCAGCCGCGGUAAUACGGAGGAUGCGAGCGUUAUCCGGAUUUAUUGGGUUUAAAGGGUGCGUAGGCGGCCCUAUAAGUCAGCGGUGAAAUGUUCCGGCUCAACCGGGAAACUGCCGUUGAAACUGUAGAGCUAGAGUCCACAAGAGGUAUGCGGAAUGCGUGGUGUAGCGGUGAAAUGCAUAGAUAUCACGCAGAA
rnacentral:rRNA from 1 species